AAAAUACUUUUGUAGACUCAAUUAAUUUUUCAUUAAAAAUAGGUUUAUAGGCUUUUCAGGGUAGGACUUGUAUCAUCUUGCCUGUUUUGUUCCUAUUUGUGAUCUUGGACUCAUAUGAAGAGUUAAUGACAUUAUAGGGGAAACAGCCUGUCACGUGUACAUAUCCUAGUUUGUGUGAAAAACUGUCAGUAAGAUGUGUCUCUCUACAUGCUAUCAUAUCAAAUUACUAAUUUCUGUUACUGACUUUGGGAUCCUCAAGAUGAAUGUUUUAAAUAUUAAUGAAACAUAUUUUUCAACACCCCACUGCUAUAAUAAACUAUUCUUCCCAUUUUAGGAAAGAAAAAAUUUAUAGCAUGGAAACUGUAAGGUACCCAUGAAUGCACACUUUCUUGGCAGGAGUAGGAAGUAACUGAAUGUAUUAUUUCUGUGUUUUAACCAGAAGACAUUAUUCUUCCUGGCUGAAAUUUGUUGAUUCACUUCAUAAUUGAAAAGGACGCUUCUGAUAAAUGGCAUAAAUGUUGCUGUAGCUUUCCAGCAUCUGUUUUCUGGCAGUCAGAGUGUGGAGCAGCUAGGAGCUAGUGAAGCAUCUACCUCCACUCGUGCCAGUUUGCAGAACUGUGCUGUAAUGGAGGGUGUCAGCAGGAUUCUUCUACUCUGCUUUGCAGUGAGAAAAGAAACUCAACACUGCCUUCUUCCUUAGUGUUUAGAUUCUUAUUUUGCUUACAUGAGAUUUGUAAGAAGAAAUUAGGAGGGUUAAUAGUGUAAUACAUGUAAUUACUACAUAAAAGUAUGUAGUUAUAUCAUCCCUCAGCCAGUUGCUGGAAUUAAACAUUGACUGAUGUUUUGCUUAAUAUAACAUAUUUCUGAAUCCUAAGAUAAAAAUGAUGCGCAUGGUCCUGUAAACAGGUUUUUGCAUAUGUUGUGGAUAAAGACGUAUAGAGAACUCCAUGUUUUAGAAAAAACUAUAAUUUUGCUGUAAUCCCGUUAUUUAUUGUCUACUGCAGUUGUUUAAUGGGCUUUUUCUAUGUAAGACUUGUUUGUAGGGAAAAUGUUAAUACCUUAAUUGGUUUCAUCUGAGAAAAGUAAAAGCUAAAUAAGAGUGUGGAAUUCCUCUGAGAUAUGUGGGAAUUUGCAGUACCUAGAGAAAGAAAAUGGAGAAGGUAAAAUUUCCUUCCAACCCAUGUACAAAUUGGAGUUGCCACUUGUGGAAUAUAACAAAAAUAACCUGUAUGAAGUGGCAUAGUUAUUAUGCUAUAAUAGAGGAGUAGAGCUAAGACUGUUCCCUUCUCCAGAGUACAUAUUGCUUGAGUACACUAUUGUCGGGGAUUGGCCCAUCUCUGCAAUGCAUCUGGGAGUAUUUCUUACGUAAGAUUUUACUAUCUAGGUCUGCGUAUUCUCCUGACAGUCAUUGUUUCAGAGAUAGGCAGAAGAGUUUUGUUCUUAUGCCCUAUCUUGUACAGCUUCCAGUUCCACAUCAGCCACUCUUCCCGUUGUGCCUCUGGUACUGUAGGUACGAUAGUCCACUACCUGUGUGAUAACAAUCAAAGGUAGAGUCUUUAGGAAGGCAGGAGAGUACCUAACUAACAGCAGGGUAGUGUAGCUAUUAUUUCUCUAAACCUAGCUAAACUAGAGAGAACCCUAAAUGUGCUUAAAAUCUCCAGAUCCGUCACUGGUGUUUUUGGGUGAAUGAUAGAAGUCAUCCUUUUCACAGUACUGGUGUGUGUUAGCUGUCAUGGUAGGAAUCUGGUCUUCAGCUAGGGG